rnacentral:rRNA from 1 species
GACGAACGCUGGCGGCGUGCUUAACACAUGCAAGUCGAGCGGAAAGGCCCCUUCGGGGGUACUCGAGUGGCGAACGGGUGAGUAAUGCAUCGGAACGUGCCCAGUCGUGGGGGAUAACGCAGCGAAAGCUGCGCUAAUACCGCAUACGAUCUAUGGAUGAAAGCGGGGGACCGUAAGGCCUCGCGCGAUUGGAGCGGCCGAUGUCAGAGUAGGUAGUUGGUGGGGUAAAGGCUCACCAAGCCGACGAUCUGGAGCUGGUCUGAGAGGACGACCAGCCACACUGGGACUGAGACACGACCCAGACUCCUACGGGAGGCAGCAGUGGGGAAUUUUGGACAAUGGGCGCAAGCCUGAUCCAGCAAUGCCGCGUGCAGGAUGAAGGCCUUCGGGUUGUAAACUGCUUUUGUACGGAACGAAAAGCCCUGGGUUAAUACCCUGGGGUCAUGACGGUACCGUAAGAAUAAGCACCGGCUAACUACGUGCCAGCCGCCGCCGUAAAAC